CGUGUAGGCGGUUGGUUAAGUCGGAUGUGAAAGCCUGGGGCUCAGCCCCAGAAGUGCAUCCGAAACUAUCCGGCUAGAGCGCGAUAGAGGAGGGUGGAAUUCCUGGUGUAGCGGUGAAAUGCGUAGAUAUCAGGAGGAACACCGGCGGCGAAGGCGGCCCUCUGGAUCGUUGCUGACGCUGAGACGCGAAAGCGUGGGGAGCAAACAGGAUUAGAUACCCUGGUAGUCCACGCCUUAAACGAUGGGUACUAGGUGUUCGGGGUGUUGACCCCCUGAGUGCCGCAGUUAACGCAUUAAGUACCCCGCCUGGGGACUACGGCCGCAAGGUUAA
rnacentral:rRNA from 1 species